rnacentral:rRNA from 1 species
GACGAACGCUGGCGGCGUGCUUAACACAUGCAAGUCGAACGGAAAGGCCCUGCUUGCAGGGUACUCGAGUGGCGAACGGGUGAGUAACACGUGGGUGAUCUGCCCUGCACUUCGGGAUAAGCCUGGGAAACUGGGUCUAAUACCGGAUAGGAGCCAUUUUUAGUGUGAUGGUUGGAAAGUUUUUUCGGUGUAGGAUGAGCUCGCGGCCUAUCAGCUUGUUGGUGGGGUAAUGGCCUACCAAGGCGGCGACGGGUAGCCGGCCUGAGAGGGUGGACGGCCACAUUGGGACUGAGAUACGGCCCAGACUCCUACGGGAGGCAGCAGUGGGGAAUAUUGCACAAUGGGCGCAAGCCUGAUGCAGCGACGCCGCGUGGGGGAUGACGGCCUUCGGGUUGUAAACUCCUUUCGCUAGGGACGAAGCUUUUUGUGACGGUACCUAGAUAAGAGGCACCGGCUAACUACGUG